rnacentral:rRNA from 1 species
UACAGAGGUGGCAAGCGUUGCUCGGUAUCACUGGGCUUAAAGGGCGCGUAGGCUGCACGGCACGGUUCGGGUGAAAUCCCUCGGCUCAACCGAGGAACUGCCCGGGCGACGGCCGAGCUCGACUGCAUCAGGGGAAGAUGGAACUCCCGGUGGAGCGGUGAAAUGCGUAGAUAUCGGGAGGAACGCCGGUGGCGAAAGCGAUCUUCUGGGGUGCUAGUGACGCUGAGGCGCGAAAGCCAGGGGAGCAAAC